UACGUAGGUGACAAGCGUUGUCCGGAUUUACUGGGCGUAAAGAGCGCGCAGGCGGUCGUUCAAGUCGAGUGUGAAAGCCCCCGGCUCAACUGGGGAGGGUCAUUCGAUACUGAUCGACUCGAAGGCAGGAGAGGGUAGUGGAAUUCCCGGUGUAGUGGUGAAAUGCGUAGAUAUCGGGAGGAACACCAGUGGCGAAGGCAGCUCGCUGGGACGGUACUGACGCUGAGACGCGAAAGCGUGGGGAGCAAACAGG
rnacentral:rRNA from 1 species